UACGAAGGGGGCUAGCGUUGCUCGGAAUCACUGGGCGUAAAGCGCACGUAGGCGGAUCUUUAAGUCAGGGGUGAAAUCCUGGAGCUCAACUCCAGAACUGCCUUUGAUACUGGGAAUCUCGAGUCCGGAAGAGGUGAGUGGAACUCCGAGUGUAGAGGUGAAAUUCGUAGAUAUUCGGAAGAACACCAGUGGCGAAGGCGGCUCACUGGUCCGGUACUGACGCUGAGGUGCGAAAGCGUGGGGAGCAAACAGG
rnacentral:rRNA from 1 species